rnacentral:rRNA from 1 species
UACAGAGGUCCCAAGCGUUGUUCGGAUUCACUGGGCGUAAAGGGUGCGUAGGCGGUUCGGUAAGUCGGGUGUGAAACCUCCAGGCUCAACCUGGAGAUGCCACCUGAUACUGCUGUGACUCGAGUCCGGUAGGGGAGCGUGGAAUUCCUGGUGUAGCGGUGAAAUGCGCAGAUAUCAGGAGGAACACCAGCGGCGAAGGCGGCGCUCUGGGCCGGAACUGACGCUGAGGAGCGAAAGCGUGGGUAGCAAACAGG